CCUGGACCAGGAAGUGUGAGAGUAUUCACUAAUCCACACCUGUCUGACCAUUAAAACAUGACAUAAUUACAGCUCAUAGAUGAGCCCUAUAUAAGAGCGGAGGAGGGCCAUGGGACACAUUGUAGGCACCUGCUGGAUAGGUCGCAGUUUGACAUCCUAUUCGAAGCAAAUCUCAUUCUCUGUGGCAUAUUUUACCGUUUUCUCUCCAUCAUGAAGUGCAUGAUCACACAAAUCUGGAUGUUGGCUCUGCUGGUCUCCGUGGCUCAGACUAAUGUGACAGUGACAACCGAUGUGGUAACCACUGAUGAUACUUCAAAUACAGAUUCAACUAUUCUGUUAACAACUGAUGAAACUUUAGUUGCAAGCACAGAUCCAACCACUGUGCCAACAACUGUAGAUUCUACAACUACAACUACAGCUCAACCCACUGUUCCGACAAUUUAUACUACUUCAUCCGUAAUAACCAGAAUAUAUACUUCAGAGACAACUUCAUCAGAUCAGCCAACCACAAUGUCUCCAUCUUCAGAGCCCACCACGAUUCAAACGACUGGAUUUACUAGCAACAUAACUAUGACCACAAUGACAAAUACCUCGAUGACAACAGAAAGACAGACCUCAAUUUCGACGACUACAUCAUUCAGCGACUCACUGAAUGUUCACAUUAUCAGCUAUACUCUAUCCAUCUUGCUGUACAUGGUGUUGAAUUGAGCAUUACCCGAUUCAGCCCUGGACUAAAAAAAAAAGCUAAGCCUGACUGUUUAACAACUAACUGUAGUAUAUAGCCUAAGUAAUAUAUGAAGGUAAAGUAAAGACUAUAUGUAUAUAUAUAUAUAUAUAUAUAUAUAUAUAUAUAUAUAUAUAUAUAUAUAUAUAUAUAUAUAUAUAUAUAUAUAUAUAUAAUGAGUAUAUAAAUGACUAUUACAUUUACAGUAGUAUAAGGCAAAACUUAACAACAGAUAAUAGUUUAAUUGAUUGAAUGUUUGUUAUAAUUACACAAACUUAACAGCUCACGCUUAAAUGCUAGAAAUUAGAAAUUAGCUUUGAUGAUAAAUAUAAACUAUUUAUAUGCAUGAAUUUAUAAAAUUAGCUUUUUAAUUAAUUUUUUUUUCAAUUAAUGAGUUGGAGCAAGAAGUCCAGCCAACAAGACAGUGUCCAUGAACUAAUGUAUGUAUAAAGUGGCUUCAUUAGAUGGCUUCAUUCAAGUGCUUGAUGCAUCACAGAUGUGGACUUCCUUAAAAAUGAAACUAAGAUUCGAAAUGAAAAAUGUAUACUACUUUUAACAAGUUGUAAUGAUUUAAGCCCAGUUUAUUAAAGGCUUUUUAUCCUACCACAUAAUGAAAAUUUUAUAGUUUAAAAUAAUGGCUGAAAUAAAGAAACAAUUGUAUCUGUUGAUUGUGUGUGUUUUUCAUAGUUUCAUUGUAAUUUGAUGGUUAAUGUAUUUACUGUUUAGUAAGUGAGCUUUUUCUGGACUAAAAUAGGUUAAGCAAAGUCAGUCAAUUCCUUUAACUCUUUUUAAAGUUUAUGAUAUCAUAACAUCCUGGGAAAACUUUAUUUAAACCUUUGGCUAAAAAUCUAACAAAUGAGUCAAGCUACAUUCUACAAGAUCAGAAUUCUACAUUCUACAAGAUCAGAAUCUAGUUGACUUAAUGUUUCUGGGUCAAAAAGUUUACUAGUCUGAUACUGAAGACUUGGUUCAUGUAUUUUUCUGGUCACAAAAUGUGAUGAUCAAAAAAAAUUAUAUAUAUAUAUAUA
ensembl:lncRNA